rnacentral:rRNA from 1 species
UAUUGGACAAUGGGGGCAACCCUGAUCCAGCCAUGCCGCGUGAGUGAUGAAGGCCUUCGGGUUGUAAAACUCUUUUGGCGGGGACGAUGAUGACGGUACCCGCAGAAUAAGCCCCGGCUAACUUCGUGCCAGCAGCCGCGGUAAGACGAAGGGGGCUAGCGUUGUUCGGAAUUACUGGGCGAAAGCGAGUGUAGGUGGUUUUCCAAGUUGGAUGUAAAGCCUUGGGCUAACCCAAGAAAUGCAUUCAGACUGAAGCAGGACCGGAGAGGAUAGUGGAAUUCCCAGUGAGUGGUAAAACGAGAAAUUGGAAGACACCAGUGGCGAGGCGGCAUCUGGCGGUUCUGACAAAGCUAAAUACG